AAGGCGAAGUGAACCUUCGUCUAGUCUUUUUUUUUUUUUUAUAAAAAUUAGGCAAAACUAUCAAAUUGCGGGAAAUUCUUAAAGGCAAAUCUACCAAGUUAACAUAGAAAUAUAGUUAAUGGAACAGGUAAUGACUCGUUGUAAGGUAAAAACGGUUUGUAUGAAAAAUAGAUAACCUGCAGCCAAGCACCAAGUGUUUAUUAUAAAUUGUUUAUUAUAAAUAACGGUGUGCAGUUCAUCGACUAAACGUUAGUUGGUUUAUAGACUUUAUGAUGGGUCUAUUUGUUUAAGAUAUAGUCAGGCUUAAUUUGAAAAAAAUUA
rnacentral:ncRNA from 1 species